ACGCUGGCGGCACGCCUAACACAUGCAAGUCGAACGAAGUAGCAAUACUUAGUGGCAGACGGGUGAGUAACAUGUAGGUAUCUGCCCUUUGGCCUGGAAUAACACGAGGAAACUUGUGCUAAUACCGGAUAAGUCUUUACGGAGAAAGCUUUAUGCACCAUUGGAUGAGCCUGCACUUGAUUAGUUUGUUGGUGGGGUAAUGGCCUACCAAGACUGUGAUCAAUAGCUGAUUUGAGAGGAUGAUCAGCCACAUUGGGACUGAGACACGGCCCAAACUCCUACGGGAGGCAGCAGUGGGGAAUCUUGCACAAUGGAGGAAACUCUGAUGCAGCGAUGCCGCGUGAGUGAAGAAGGCCCUUGGGUUGUAAAGCUCUUUCGUCGGGGAAGAAAAUGACUGUACCCGAAUAAGAAGGUCCGGCUAACUUCGUGCCAGCAGCCGCGGUAAUACGAAGGGACCUAGCGUAGUUCGGAAUUACUGGGCUUAAAGAGUUCGUAGGUGGUUGAAAAAGUUAGUGGUGAAAUCCCAGAGCUUAACUCUGGAACUGCCAUUAAAACUUUUCAGCUAGAGUAUGAUAGAGGAAAGCAGAAUUUCUAGUGUAGAGGUGAAAUUCGUAGAUAUUAGAAAGAAUACCAAUUGCGAAGGCAGCUUUCUGGAUCAUUACUGACACUGAGGAACGAAAGCAUGGGUAGCGAAGAGGAUUAGAUACCCUCGUAGUCCAUGCCGUAAACGAUGUGUGUUAGACGUUGGAAAUUUAUUUUCAGUGUCGCAGGGAAACCGAUAAACACACCGCCUGGGGAGUACGACCGCAAGGUUAAAACUCAAAUGAAUUGACGGGGACCCGCACAAGUAGUGGAGCAUGUGGUUUAAUUCGAAGAUACGCGCAGAACCUUACCAACACUUGACAUGUUCGUCGCGACUCUAAGAGAUUAGAGUUUUCGGUUCGGCCGGACGAAACACAGGUGCUGCAUGGCUGUCGUCAGCUCGUGUCGUGAGAUGUUGGGUUAAGUCCCGCAACGAGCGCAACCCUCACUUUUAGUUGCCAUCAUUAAGUUGGGCACUCUGAAAGAACUGCCAGUGAUAAGCUGGAGGAAGGUGGGGAUGACGUCAAGUCCUCAUGGCCCUUACGUGUUGGGCUACACACGUGCUACAAUGGUAUCUACAACAGGAAGCAAAACUGCGAAGUUAAGCAAAUCCCUAAAAGAUACCUCAGUUCGGAUUGCACUCUGCAACUCGAGUGCAUGAAGCUGGAAUUACUAGUAAUCGUGGAUCAGCGUGCCACGGUGAAUGCGUUCCCGGGUCUUGUACACACCGCCCGUC
rnacentral:rRNA from 1 species